UCUUGAUGUGAAGCACUCAGCAUUAACGCGCAUUAACGGAAAACGCUCGUCAACAGUAACAGCUACUUGUGAAUUUCAAAAUCUUUAACAGUUGGAUUUAGGAAGAAGCCCCUUUCAAUUUUGAGUGUUAAAUCAGUUCUUAAUAUGGCCUGCUGUUUUUCAAGCAUGUUUUCUAAAGUAACUCACAUCGCUAACGGAUACCACGAAGACAUCUACGCCCGAGUUUAUGUUGAAAAAGGAAAAAAAAGAAAACAACAACUGAAUUUGAUAAUCCCAGGAGAAGAGAGCACCGAAACCGGAACGAAAGAGACUAGAGAAUUCAUAGAAGCCAAUAAAGAUUAUUCUAGGAUUGGUUCCGGUUAUCAUCUUAAAUUCUACACCGAUGGCCCUCUGCCAUGCAGCCACAGUUUACGUAUCAAUCGUCUUGAUGAGUUCAAACGGAAAAUUCACAUGCAAAAACCAUCCUAUCAAAGUAAACCGCAGUGUCAUAGUCGAUCAAAAGGGUUAUCUCGUCAUGGCCAAAUACUCAACAGGUCCUUUUGGCGAGAGCAGUAUUUGGAAGGAUGAAGACGGCAAGAAUCAUCAAAAAAACCAAUAGGAUCAGCAAAUCUAUAGAUAUCGGGUGAAUAUCCUAAGCUAUAUUAAUAACUUGAUUCAAAUUCAUUUGAAUAAAGUGACCAGAAUACACUGAAAUCAAAUCAUA